AGCAUGUUAGCUCAGGGGAAGAGCGCCGGGCUCAUAACCCGGAGGACCCUAGAUCGAAACUAGGACAUGCUA